UCUCAUUUGGGCAUUAGUGUUGAAAUUAAUUAAAAUGUUUAAGCCAUAGGAGGCAGGCUACCUCGUCAGGACCUGGCUCUGCCCUCGGAGUCAGUCUGGAUCCAGGAGUGAUUCAUCUUACACAGAUGAGAGGGGGAUAAAAGGAAAAGAACAGUCAGGACAAAUGUGUUUUCAAUGGUGCUUAGCAGCAGGAGACCACUGGGACUUCAGAGCAAUGCUGCUGGAGUGUGACAUCAUAAUACGCCGAACACCAGAGUCUCAAGCCUCUUGGAGUUUAUGGGCCAAUUUCUCCCUAGAUGUGUGAGCUUGUUGUGCUGCCGUCAGUGGACUCACCAGCGGCCGAGCAGCUCAGAGUGACAGCGACUCAGCGUCUGGAAGCCCCACUGGGUUGUGAAAUGAACAAGGCCCUCUGUGCCCCUGAUCCAGCCCGGGCGAGCCCUGGGGCUCCAGAAGCGAGCACCUCCCAGCUCCUAAAGAGCAGACAUAUAUCCUGCCUUUAAGACAAGACUACAAUUGCAAAUCUGAGAAUAUAAAUUACACUUUCAUCUUU